UCUCAUCUCCUGGUUUGUGAUGACAGGCAUGCUGCUCUCAUGCCGCACACAACGGGGUGGUGACCAUCUGCCGCACAGGCCGAGGCGAGCCAAAAGGAGAACAACAACGCCUCUGGUUGCCACACAUACUGGCCGGUCACUUCCCAAGAAACAACACAGGCGGGUGUAUCCUGUGGAUUUUUGGACGGCUGUCUUAAGAGACCAACAGACGACAAGGUGUGAAGCCAGACGGUGCAGGAACAUCUUGCACGCCGCACAACAGUCCCUCUGUACAGUAUUUGUGGCGUCCCGUCGAGCUGAAGUCUAAGGCUGCACGGGCUGGAACUGAGGAUGCUCAAGGUGAUCAACAUGGAGUGGGGGGGAACAGAUCGACCUGCCACCAAUCAGCACACACAAAACCCCAGCAGUAAUACUGUCGAGUUGUUUAAUCCUGGUCCUGUGAGCGUUCCAGUGGCUGCCUUAACACCA